CUGGAGAGUCUCACUGCACCUUUCUGACUCACUGAACUCACACAGGGCCCUGUUGUGGUGGGGACUGACACGGAAGUGCCCAGGAAGUGAGGAAGUUGGACUUCCGGGAAGGGCAGGAUUAGAGAGGUUUUGGAUGCUGAUAUGCAAAGGGAGCGACAAUGAGCAGACUUUAAGAAGCCUCCUUGGGUAUCUAGCGUCCAGCCGCUCUUGUCUGGUUCAGGGAGCCAGUGCCGGUGUCAGUCUGUGACGCUGACUGCAGAAGAUACAGCCACACUUGGCCCCAGGCGAAAACUGCAUCACCUGGAGACCUGGCCCCUCUGAGCCACUCCCAGUCACCAGAGGGACUCGGCUCUGACCAUGGAUGACGGCUGGAUGGUAGGACUUGGGCUUUGGCACAGUUCUGACCAAAGGGUAAGCACUGUGCUUUUGGAGAGAAUGGACCUCUGGCGGGGACCCAGGACCAACACCCGGCCUCCUGUAGGGCCAUGACUAAGCCAGCUUUCUUUCAUUCCAUCACCCGAAGGUCCUGGAUGAGUGUGUUGGAAUCCGCCCACCGAGCUUCUCCUCCUCUUCCUUCUCCUUAGAGUGUGGCAUUUGGAACUGGACACUCAGGCCAAGCUGUCACCUGACGGCUGGCAUCAGAAUUAGUGGGGACUGAACUGCAGCCGGAGACCCCGUGCAAAGCAGGCAGGGUACAAAAACCUAGUGUCCUUGAGGACACAGCAGGAUUCAAAUGAGGAAGGGUAUAAACCAAAGACAUUCCACUCAGAAAAGAAAUAAAGGGGAUGAUAAAUUCCCAAAAUGGUUCUCAGCCUCACUCCCACAAAAAUUCAAACAAUAAAGCACUUUUUAAAUCUUGGUGAA